rnacentral:rRNA from 1 species
AGGACUAACGCUGGCGGCGUGCCUAACACAUGCAAGUCGAACGAGGGGUAGCAAUACCCCUAGUGGCAGACGGGUGAGUAACACGUAGUCAACCUACCUCUUAAUGGGGGAUAACUAGCCGAAAGGUUAGCUAAUACCGCAUACGAUCGUCGAGUGGCAUCACACGACGAUGAAAGGAGCAAUCCGUUGAGAGAGGGGACUGCGUCCCAUUAGUUAGUUGGUGGGGUAAUGGCCUACCAAGACUCCGAUGGGUAGCUGGCUUGAGGGAGCGACCAGCCACACUGGAACUGAGACACGGUCCAAACUCCUACGGGAGGCAGCAGUGAGGAAUUUUCCGCAAUGGGGGAAACCCUGACGGAGCGACGCCGCGUGUGGGAAGAAGGCCUUCGGGUCGUAAACCACUGUCGAGGGGGACGAUAUUGACGGUACCCCUGGAGGAAGCCCCGGCUAACUACGCGCCAGCAGCCGC